GGGUCAUGAAACUUGCACAAACUCGUGGAGAACUUUUAAUGGAGAUAUAAGCAUAACCCUGUCUUCCUCUUUCAGCGGACCGUCUUAAAAAGGCACCUGUCCCGUGAAAUCAGGUUCGAAACAUUAAUCCUGACAACAUCCUGCUAACGGCAGACGGUCACGCGUGAUUGAGUGAUUCUGGCUCCUGGCUCCUUGCUCCUGGCUCCAGUCCAUGAUUUUUGUCUGCCGUUAAAUGGCUGCUCACUGCUCCAGGACGGGUCACAGAAGAUGAAAGCAGAAGAAGCCAGCGGUGAACCCAGGAUUGACCUCUCACAUGCGCAGAAUGAGAGAAAGCUUUGUUUCAGAUUGUCUUAAAAUAGGAACUAGUUCCUCAUUUUUCUCUUGGAGUAUUCAGAAUAUAACAGUCAACAGUUUCUGGUGGGAAACAAAUUUUGCCGGCUCUACGAAACUGAAAAUCGUCUCACGUCUUUGGUUGAUUUAAUAAAGCAUUGAUUCGGCUCAUCACUUCACAUUUUGCUUUGAUUACACAACAAAGGACAGAAAUAAGGUGUUAAAACAUGAAAGCACCCAAAUUUUGUGGCACAAAAAAAAGUAGGGUAGGAUGAGAGAGAGAAGAAAUGGCAGGUAAUGCAAUAUUCAUGUGCACAAGGCAGAUUUCCCUUUAGUUCUCAUGAUUAGAGGAGAGAA